rnacentral:misc_RNA from 1 species
GUAACUAAGAAGCAAGUCCAGAAAUGUUUAAUGGAUACAGCUACAGAUGACAUUCAGUGGCGUAUUUUAAGUGGGAAGAGUCGCUUCCCUGAUCAUCUACCUCUUCUUUCCAGUGCAGCAGUAAUCUUUAGGGAGCGCUUUGAUCCUAUUGUUGCCAAAUCUGGACGAGAUCUUAUACCUGUUAUGGUUUAUGGGAGAAACAUCUCAGGUCAAGAAUUUGGGGGAAUGUAUUGCAUCGUUUUGAUUGUGAAGUCAGUAGUUGUAUCAGCUGCUCUUCUCAGGAUUUUUGGGCAAGAGGUUGCUGAACUCCCUAUGGUGGCUACAAGUAGAGCAAACCAGGGCAAAGGUUAU